rnacentral:misc_RNA from 1 species
UGAAUUUUGGCCCAAAGGCUGAACGUGAUUCUAAUUCUCCAAGUCAUGUCCACAAAGAAAUUCAAUGCAUUAUGCAUUCUGAUAAACUUAUAGGAAACUUUCUAAUUUUAUGGUAGAUCAAGCAAACACCCACCACCAGUUCAUGCAUGAUGGCUAGGAAAAAAGAGUUAUCCAUGACACAUGUGAAGAGAUAUGUUCCAAGUACAUAUGAUUUAAGCAACUGUCUUUUCCCAAAACAUCAUCUAGCACACAGUCACAUAGGGAACAAUAUCCAAGCAAUUUAUUGCUGACUUUUCACAAGCUAUUGAGUUAACCUAUAAAGAAUUGUAUAUUGGUAUUAAAGUUUGCAUGACCAACUUACUUGUGCUCAGAUUCUUCUUGUAUGAAUGCAUGAAGUGCCUCGACUACUAUGGAA